CCUACGGGUGGCAGCAGUGAGGAAUAUUGGUCAAUGGACGAGAGUCUGAACCAGCCAAGUAGCGUGAAGGAUGAAUGCCCUAUGGGUUGUAAACUUCUUUUAUAUGGGAAUAAAAUGUUCCACGUGUGGGAUUUUGUAUGUACCAUAUGAAUAAGGAUUGGCUAACUCCGUGCCAGCAGCCGCGGUAAUACGGAGGAUUCGAGCGUUAACCGGAUUUAUUGGGUUUAAAGGGAGCGUAGGUGGAUUGUUAAGGCAGUUGUGAAAGUUUGCGGCUCAACCGUAAAAUUGCAGUUGAAACUGGCAGUCUUGAGUACAGUAGAGGUGGGCGGAAUUCGUGGUGUAGCGGUGAAAUGCUUAGAUAUCACGAAGAACUCCGAUUGCGAAGGCAGUUCACUGGACUGCAACUGACACUGAGGCUCGAAAGUGUGGGUAUCAAACAGGAUUAGAUACCCCAGUAGUC
rnacentral:rRNA from 1 species